GCCACCAUGACUGAGCAGAUGACCCUUCGUGGCACCCUCAAGGGCCACAACGGCUGGGUAAAACAGAUCGAUACUACUCCUCAGUUCCCGGACAUGAUCCUAUCUGCCUCUUGAGACAAGACCAUCAUCAUGUGGAAACUCACCAGGGAUGAGACCAACUAUGGAAUUCCACAGCGUGCUCUGCAAAGUCACUCCCACUUUGUUAGUGAUGUGGUUAUCUCCUCAGAUGGCCAGUUUGCCCUCUCAGGCUCCUGGGAUGGAACCCUGUGCCUCUGGGAUCUCACAAUGAGCACCACCACAAGACGAUUUGUGGGCCAUACCAAGAAUGUGCCGAGUGUGGCCUUCUCCUCUGACAACCGGCAGAUUGUCUCUGGAUCUCGAGAUAAAACCAUCAAGCUGUGGAAUACCCUGGGUGUGUACAAAUACACUGUCCAGGAUGAGAGCCACUCAGAGUGGGUGUCUUGUGUCUGCUUCUUGCCCAACAGCAGCAACCCUAUCAUUAUCUCCUGCGGCUGGGAUAAGCUGGUCAAGGUAUGGAACCUGGCUAACUGUAAGCUGAAGACCAACCACGUUGGCCACAUAGGCUAUCUGAACACAGUGACUGUCUCUCCAGAUGGAUCCCUCUGUGCUUCUGGAGGCAAGGAUGGCCAGGCCAUGUUAUGGGAUCUCAACGAAGGGAAGCACCUUUACACCCUAGAUGGUGGGGACAUCAUCAAUGCCCUAUGCUUCAGCCCUAACCGCUACUGGCUCUGUGCUGCCACAGGCCCCAGCAUCAAGAUUUGGGAUUUAGAGGGAAAGAUCAUUGUAGACUAACUGAAGCAGGAAGUUAUCAGCACCAGCAGCUAGGCAGAACCACCCCAGUGCACCUCCCUGGCCUGGUCUGCUGAUGGCCAGACUCUGUUUGCUGGCUACAGACAACCUGGUGCGAGUGUGGCGGGUGACUAUCAGCACCCGCUAG